GCAGGUUUAGCUCAGUUGGGAGAGCGUCAGACUGAAGUCCACUUCAAUCGAGAAUCUGAAGGUCGAGUGUUCAAGCCACUCAACCUGCA